rnacentral:rRNA from 1 species
GACAGAGGAGGCAAGCGUUGUCCGGAUUAACUGGGCGUAAAGCGUCCGCAGGUGGCACGGUCAGUGGGGUGUGAAAGCCGGUGGCUUAACCGCCGGAGGCCAUCCCAAACUGCCGCGCUGGAGUCGGGCAGAGGGUGCCGGUAUUGCCGGUGUAGUGGUGAAAUUCGUAGAUAUCGGGAGGAACACCAGUGGCGAAGGCGGAGACCUGGGCCGAUACUGACGCUGAGGUGCGAAAGCGUGGGGAGCAAACAGG